ACGAACGCUGGCGGCGUGCUUAACACAUGCAAGUCGAACGAUGAACCACUUCGGUGGGGAUUAGUGGCGAACGGAUGAGUAACACGUGGGCAAUCUGCCCUUCACUCUGGGACAAGCCCUGGAAACGGGGUCUAAUACCGGAUACGACACUCUCGGGCAUCCGAUGAGUGUGGAAAGCUCCGGCGGUGAAGGAUGAGCCCGCGGCCUAUCAGCUUGUUGGUGAGGUAACGGCUCACCAAGGCGACGACGGGUAGCCGGCCUGAGAGGGCGACCGGCCACACUGGGACUGAGACACGGCCCAGACUCCUACGGGAGGCAGCAGUGGGGAAUAUUGCACAAUGGGCGAAAGCCUGAUGCAGCGACGCCGCGUGAGGGAUGACGGCCUUCGGGUUGUAAACCUCUUUCAGCAGGGAAGAAGCGAAAGUGACGGUACCUGCAGAAGAAGCGCCGGCUAACUACGUGCCAGCAGCCGCGGUAAUACGUAGGGCGCGAGCGUUGUCCGGAAUUAUUGGGCGUAAAGAGCUCGUAGGCGGUCUGUCGCGUCGGAUGUGAAAGCCCGGGGCUUAACCCCGGGUCUGCAUUCGAUACGGGCAGACUAGAGUGUGGUAGGGGAGAUCGGAAUUCCUGGUGUAGCGGUGAAAUGCGCAGAUAUCAGGAGGAACACCGGUGGCGAAGGCGGAUCUCUGGGCCAUUACUGACGCUGAGGAGCGAAAGCGUGGGGAGCGAACAGGAUUAGAUACCCUGGUAGUCCACGCCGUAAACGGUGGGAACUAGGUGUUGGCGACAUUCCACGUCGUCGGUGCCGCAGCUAACGCAUUAAGUUCCCCGCCUGGGGAGUACGGCCGCAAGGCUAAAACUCAAGGAAUUGACGGGGGCCCGCACAAGCAGCGGAGCAGGUGGCUUAAUUCGACGCAACGCGAAGAACCUUACCAAGGCUUGACAUACACCGGAAACGGCCAGAGAUGGUCGCCCCCUUGUGGUCGGUGUACAGGUGGUGCAUGGCUGUCGUCAGCUCGUGUCGUGAGAUGUUGGGUUAAGUCCCGCAACGAGCGCAACCCUUGUUCUGUGUUGCCAGCAUGCCCUUCGGGGUGAUGGGGACUCACAGGAGACUGCCGGGGUCAACUCGGAGGAAGGUGGGGACGACGUCAAGUCAUCAUGCCCCUUAUGUCUUGGGCUGCACACGUGCUACAAUGGCAGGUACAAUGAGCUGCGAAGCCGUGAGGCGGAGCGAAUCUCAAAAAGCCUGUCUCAGUUCGGAUUGGGGUCUGCAACUCGACCCCAUGAAGUCGGAGUUGCUAGUAAUCGCAGAUCAGCAUUGCUGCGGUGAAUACGUUCCCGGGCCUUGUACACACCGCCCGGUCACGUCACGAAAGUCGGUAACACCCGAAAGCCGGUGGCCCAACCCCUUGUG
rnacentral:rRNA from 1 species